rnacentral:rRNA from 1 species
GCGGAGGAAAAGAAACCAACAGGGAUUGCCCUAGUAACGGCGAGUGAAGCGGCAACAGCUCAAAUUUGAAAUCUGGCUCUUUCAGAGUCCGAGUUGUAAUUUGCAGAGGGCGCUUUGGCUUUGGCAGCGGUCCAAGUUCCUUGGAACAGGACGUCACAGAGGGUGAGAAUCCCGUACGUGGUCGCUAGCUAUUGCCGUGUAAAGCCCCUUCGACGAGUCGAGUUGUUUGGGAAUGCAGCUCUAAAUGGGAGGUAAAUUUCUUCUAAAGCUAAAUAUUGGCCAGAGACCGAUAGCGCACAAGUAGAGUGAUCGAAAGAUGAAAAGCACUUUGGAAAGAGAGUCAAACAGCACGUGAAAUUGUUGAAAGGGAAGCGCUUGCAGCCAGACUUGCUUGCAGUUGCUCAUCCGGGCUUUUGCCCGGUGCACUCUUCUGCAGGCAGGCCAGCAUCAGUUUGGGCGGUGGGAUAAAGGUCUCUGUCACGUACCUUCCUUCGGGUUGGCCUUAUAGGGGAGACGCCAUACCACCAGCCUGGACUGAGGUCCGCGCAUCUGCUAGG